rnacentral:lncRNA from 1 species
GUUAUUUUGACGUCCCUGGGUCAGCUUUCAGAAUGACCCUGCCACCUACAAAGCAACUAUUGUCAGGCUCAUUUUUAUCAAUCUGGUAGGAGUGAAGUGAUAUCUAGUAAGCAAAUGGGGAUCUCAGGCCUGUACCCACAAGGAAACAAAUUCUGCCACAACCAUGUCAGCUUGAAAGAGGACCAUGAGCUCCAGAAUGAAACGCAGCCUGCCUAACACCAUGACUGUACCUCGUGAGACUCUGAGCAGAGGACCCAGGAAAGCCAUGCCUGCAUCCUGACCCCCCAGAAAUGGAGAUAAUAAAUGUAUAUUGUUUUAAGCCACUAAAUUUGUGUUAAUUAGUUGUGUAGCAACAGAUAACUAAUACAAUAUUGGAUCCAUG